rnacentral:rRNA from 1 species
AGCGAACGCUGGCGGCAGGCCUAACACAUGCAAGUCGAACGAACCUUUCGGGGUUAGUGGCGGACGGGUGAGUAACACGUGGGAACGUGCCUUUAGGUUCGGAAUAACUCAGGGAAACUUGUGCUAAUACCGAAUGUGCCCUUCGGGGGAAAGAUUAAUCGCCUUUAGAGCGGCCCGCGUCUGAUUAGCUAGUUGGUUGAGGUAAUGGCUCACCAAGGCGACGAUCAGUAGCUGGUCUGAGAGGAUGAUCAGCCACAUUGGGACUGAGACACGGCCGAGAAUCCUACGCGAGGCAGCAGAGGGGAAUCUUGCGAAAUGGGCGAAAGCCUGACGCAGCCAUGCCGGGUGAAUGAUGAAGGUCUUAGGAUUGUAAAAUUCUUUCACCGGGGACGAUAAUGACGGUACCCGGAGAAGAAGCCCCGGCUAACUUCGUG